rnacentral:rRNA from 1 species
CAGUCGAGCGAACUGAUUAGAAGCUUGCUUCUAUGACGUUAGCGGCGGACGGGUGAGUAACACGUGGGCAACCUGCCUGUAAGACUGGGAUAACUUCGGGAAACCGAAGCUAAUACCGGAUAGGAUCUUCUCCUUCAUGGGAGAUGAUUGAAAGAUGGUUUCGGCUAUCACUUACAGAUGGGCCCGCGGUGCAUUAGCUAGUUGGUGAGGUAACGGCUCACCAAGGCAACGAUGCAUAGCCGACCUGAGAGGGUGAUCGGCCACACUGGGACUGAGACACGGCCCAGACUCCUACGGGAGGCAGCAGUAGGGAAUCUUCCGCAAUGGACGAAAGUCUGACGGAGCAACGCCGCGUGAGUGAUGAAGGCUUUCGGGUCGUAAAACUCUGUUGUUAGGGAAGAACAAGUACGAGAGUAACUGCUCGUACCUUGACGGUACCUAACCAGAAAGCCACGGCUAACUACGUGCCAGCAGCCGCGGUAAUACGUAGGUGGCAAGCGUUAUCCGGAAUUAUUGGGCGUAAAGCGCGCGCAGGCGGUUUCUUAAGUCUGAUGUGAAAGCCCACGGCUCAACCGUGGAGGGUCAUUGGAAACUGGGGAACUUGAGUGCAGAAGAGAAAAGCGGAAUUCCACGUGUAGCGGUGAAAUGCGUAGAGAUGUGGAGGAACACCAGUGGCGAAGGCGGCUUUUUGGUCUGUAACUGACGCUGAGGCGCGAAAGCGUGGGAGCAAACAGGAUUAGAUACCCUGGUAGUCCACGCCGUAAACGAUGAGUGCUAAGUGUUAGAGGGUUUCCGCCCUUUAGUGCUGCAGCUAACGCAUUAAGCACUCCGCCUGGGGAGUACGGUCGCAAGACUGAAACUCAAAGGAAUUGACGGGGGCCCGCACAAGCGGUGGAGCAUGUGGUUUAAUUCGAAGC